AUGGUGGGACCAUUGAAAACAGCACGAGGUGGCAUGACUCAUCUGCUUGUCGCAGUGGACAAGUUCACCAAGUGGAUAGAAGCAAAACCAAUCAAGAAGAUGAAUGGUCCGACUGCCCUGACUUUCAUCUUCGACAUCACCAUCCGGUAUGGCACACCACACAUCAUUAUCACCGACAAUGGCACAAACUUUGUCAAAGGUGCCUUGGGCCGUUUCUGCGCGACGCAGGGCAUCCGACUGGACUUAGCGUCCGUUGCCCAUCCGCAAUCAAACGGCCAAGUAGAGCGAGCAAAUGGCCUCAUCUUGUCCGGCAUCAAGCCCCGACUGGUCGAGCCUCUGGAGCGCUCGGCCGGCUGUUGGCUCGAUGAGCUGCCGGCCGUCCUCUGGAGCCUGCGCACAACUCCAAACAAGUCAACCGGCUUCACGCCUUUCUUCCUCGUCUACGGUGCCGAAGCCAUCAUCCCAACGGACAUAGAAUUCGACUCCCCUCGAGUCACCAUGUACACCGAAGAGGAGGCAGAAGAAGCACGUCAAGACGGCGUCGAUCUGCUGGAAGAGGGCCGGCUGUUGGCACUCAGCCGGUCCAACAUAUACCAGCAGAACCUGCGCCGAUACUACAACCGGAAGGUCAAGCCGAGAUACUUCCAAGAGGGAGACCUUGUGCUCCGGCUGAUCCAGCGAACAGCCGGCCAGCACAAGCUCUUAGCGCCUUGGGAAGGCCCCUUCAUCAUCAGCAAGGUGUUGGGCAACGACUCCUACUACCUGAUCGACGCUCAGAAGCCUCGAGCACGCAAGAGGGACGACUCUGGCAAGGAGACGGAGCGGCCAUGGAAUGCAAAUCUCCUCCAAAGAUUUUACAGUUGA
rnacentral:rRNA from 1 species